GACAGAGGGUGCAAACGUUGUUCGGAAUUACUGGGCGUAAAGGGCGUGUAGGCGGCCAACUAAGUCCGACGUGAAAUCCCCAGGCUUAACCUGGGAACUGCGUCGGAUACUGGAUGGCUUGAAUUCGGGAGAGGGAUGCAGAAUUCCAGGUGUAGCGGUGAAAUGCGUAGAUAUCUGGAGGAAUACCGGUGGCGAAGGCGGCAUCCUGGACCGACAUUGACGCUGAAGCGCGAAAGCUAGGGGAGCAAACGGG
rnacentral:rRNA from 1 species